AAGUCGUAACAAGGUUUCCGUAGGUGAACCUGCGGAAGGAUCAUUACGUAUUGUAGGCCGGUCUGACCGGUUCUAUUCAACCCUGUUUUUUGCGUACUCUUCUGUUUCCUCGGCAGGCUUGCUUGCCGUUAGGACACAUCACAACCUUAAUAUUAGUACUUCAGCGUCAAAAACAAUACAAUUGUAACAACUUUCAACAACGGAUCUCUUGGUUCUG
rnacentral:misc_RNA from 1 species